rnacentral:rRNA from 1 species
CCCUUAGAUGUUCUGGGCCGCACGCGCGCUACACUGACGAAUGCAACGAGCUUAUAACCUUGGCCGAAAGGUCUGGGUAAUCUCCAAAUUUCGUCGUGAUGGGGAUAGAUUAUUGCAAUUAUUAAUCUUCAACGAGGAAUGCCUAGUAAGCGCAAGUCAUCAGCUUGCGUUGAUUACGUCCCUGCCCUUUGUACACACCGCCCGUCGCUCCUACCGAUUGAAUGGUCCGGUGAAGCGUUCGGACCGUGGCCUUUGGACGGUUCGCCGUCUGUUGGCUGCGGGAAGUUCGUUAAACCUCAUCAUUUAGAGGAAGGAGAANUCGUAACA